rnacentral:rRNA from 1 species
UUGAACGCUGGCGGCAUGCUUUACACAUGCAAGUCGAACGGUAACAGGGAGCUUGCUCCGCUGACGAGUGGCGAACGGGUGAGUAAUGCAUCGGAACGUGCCUAUUUGUGGGGGAUAACGUAGCGAAAGUUACGCUAAUACCGCAUACGCCCUGAGGGGGAAAGCGGGGGACCUUCGGGCCUCGCGCGAUUGGAGCGGCUGAUGUCGGAUUAGCUAGUUGGUGGGGUAAAGGCCUACCAAGGCGACGAUCCGUAGCUGGUCUGAGAGGAUGAUCAGCCACACUGGGACUGAGACACGGCCCAGACUCCUACGGGAGGCAGCAGUGGGGAAUUUUGGACAAUGGGCGAAAGCCUGAUCCAGCCAUGCCGCGUGAGUGAAGAAGGCCUUCGGGUUGUAAAGCUCUUUCAGCCGGAAAGAAAUCGCGCAGGCUAAUACUCUGCGUGGAUGACGGUACCGGAAGAAGAAGCACCAGCUAACUACGU